rnacentral:rRNA from 1 species
CAGCCGCCACGGUAAUACAGAGGGUGCGAGCGUUAAUCGGAUUUACUGGGCGUAAAGCGUGCGUAGGCGGCUUUUUAAGUCGGAUGUGAAAUCCCUGAGCUUAACUUAGGAAUUGCAUUCGAUACUGGGAAGCUAGAGUAUUGGAGAGGAUGGUAGAAUUCCAGGUGUAGCGGUGAAAUGCGUAGAGAUCUGGAGGAAUACCGAUGGCGAAGGCAGCCAUCUGGCCUAAUACUGACGCUGAGGUACGAAAGCAUGGGGAGCAAACAGGAUUAGAUACCCCAGUAGUCCCUGUCUCUUAUAC